rnacentral:rRNA from 1 species
UCUCCGCAAGGAGAUGAGUAAAGCGGCGAACGGGUGAGUAACACGUGGGCAACCUACCCUUCAGUUAGGAAUAACCCGUCGAAAGGCGGGCUAAUACCAGAUGAUGUCCCUUGAAGGCAUCUUCAGGGGACCAAAGGGGGCGAGCGCAAGCGGCUCCCGCUGAAGGAUGGGCCUGCGGCUGAUUAGCUAGUUGGUGGGGUAGCGGCCUACCAAGGCGACGAUCAGUAGCCGACCUGAGAGGGUGACCGGCCACACUGGGACUGAGACACGGCCCAGACUCCUACGGGAGGCAGCAGUGGGGAAUAUUGCGCAAUGGGCGAAAGCCUGACGCAGCGACGCCGCGUGGGUGAUGAAGGCCUUCGGG